UACGGAGGGUGCAAGCGUUAUCCGGAUUUAUUGGGUUUAAAGGGUCCGUAGGCGGACUCGUAAGUCAGUGGUGAAAUCUCAUAGCUUAACUAUGAAACUGCCAUUGAUACUGCGGGUCUUGAGUAAAGUAGAAGUGGCUGGAAUAAGUAGUGUAGCGGUGAAAUGCAUAGAUAUUACUUAGAGCACCAAUUGCGAAGGCAGGUCACUAUGUUUUAACUGACGCUGAUGGACGAAAGCGUGGGGAGCGAACAGG
rnacentral:rRNA from 1 species